ACGACGGCCAGUGCUCUGUAACCUUCGGGGGCUAUUCAGGCUUAGCGGGGUCGACGUGGACCAGCGAGGGUGACGCGCUGCGUUGACGUGGUGCUCUGCUUGGCUGUGUGUCGGUGUGCCCCGCCCCCCUGAAGAGGGGUGUCGCGGGACCGCCGUUAAAGCGAGGGAACCGGGUCAGGCCGGCGACGGAGCAGCC
rnacentral:sRNA from 1 species